rnacentral:rRNA from 1 species
UUUAUGGAGAGUUUGAUCCUGGCUCAGAGUGAACGCUGGCGGCGUGCCUAAUACAUGCAAGUCGAACGGACAAGUAAGAGCUUGCUCUUAUGAGUUAGUGGCGCACGGGUGAGUAAUGUAUAGUUAAUCUGCCCUACACUGGAGGACAACAGUUAGAAAUGACUGCUAAUACUCCAUACUCCUUCUUAACAUAAGUUAAGUUGGGAAAGUUUUUUCGGUGUAGGAUGAGACUAUAUUGUAUCAGCUAGUUGGUGAGGUAAUGGCUCACCAAGGCUAUGACGCAUAACUGGUCUGAGAGGAUGAUCAGUCACACUGGAACUGAGAC